rnacentral:rRNA from 1 species
AUGAACGCUAGCUACAGGCUUAACACAUGCAAGUCGAGGGGCAGCAUGAUUGAAGCUUGCUUCAAUCGAUGGCGACCGGCGCACGGGUGAGUAACACGUAUCCAACCUGCCGAUAACUCGGGGAUAGCCUUUCGAAAGAAAGAUUAAUACCCGAUAGCAUAGUUUUUCCGCAUGGUUUCACUAUUAAAGAAUUUCGGUUAUCGAUGGGGAUGCGUUCCAUUAGAUAGUUGGCGGGGUAACGGCCCACCAAGUCAACGAUGGAUAGGGGUUCUGAGAGGAAGGUCCCCCACAUUGGAACUGAGACACGGUCCAAACUCCUACGGGAGGCAGCAGUGAGGAAUAUUGGUCAAUGGACGAGAGUCUGAACCAGCCAAGUAGCGUGAAGGAUGACUGCCCUAUGGGUUGUAAACUUCUUUUAUACGGGAAUAAAGUGGAGUAUGCAUACUCCUUUGUAUGUACCGUAUGAAUAAGGAUCGGCUAACUCCGUGCCAGCAGCCGCGGUAAUACGGAGGAUCCGAGCGUUAUCCGGAUUUAUUGGGUUUAAAGGGAGCGUAGGCGGGUGCUUAAGUCAGUUGUGAAAGUUUGCGGCUCAACCGUAAAAUUGCAGUUGAUACUGGGCGCCUUGAGUGCAGCAUAGGUAGGCGGAAUUCGUGGUGUAGCGGUGAAAUGCUUAGAUAUCACGAAGAACUCCGAUUGCGAAGGCAGCUUACUGGACUGUAACUGACGCUGAUGCUCGAAAGUGUGGGUAUCAAACAGGAUUAGAUACCCUGGUAGUCCACACAGGAAACGUUGAACCAUCGCUGUUGGCGAUACACAGCCAGCGGCCAAGCGAUACCAUUAAGUAUUCCACCUGGGGAGUACGCCGGCAACGGUGAAACUCAAAGGAAUUGACGGGGGCCCGCACAAGCGGAGGAACAUGUGGUUUAAUUCGAUGAUACGCGAGGAACCUUACCCGGGCUUAAAUUGCAGCGGAAUGUAGUGGAAACAUUACAGCCUGCGGGCCGCUGUGAAGGUGCUGCAUGGUUGUCGUCAGCUCGUGCCGUGAGGUGUCGGCUUAAGUGCCAUAACGAGCGCAACCCUUAUCUAUAGUUACUAUCAGGUCAUGCUGAGGACUCUAUGGAGACUGCCGUCGUAAGAUGUGAGGAAGGUGGGGAUGACGUCAAAUCAGCACGGCCCUUACGUCCGGGGCUACACACGUGUUACAAUGGGGGGUACAGAAGGCAGCUACCUGGCGACAGGAUGCUAAUCCCUAAAACCUCUCUCAGUUCGGAUUGGAGUCUGCAACCCGACUCCAUGAAGCUGGAUUCGCUAGUAAUCGCGCAUCAGCCACGGCGCGGUGAAUACGUUCCCGGGCCUUGUACACACCGCCCGUCAAGCCAUGAAAGCCGGGGGUACCUGAAGUACGUAACCGCAAGGAGCGUCCUAGGGUAAAACUGGUGAUUGGGGCU